rnacentral:rRNA from 1 species
GAUAAACGCUGGCGGCGUGCAUGAGACAUGCAAGUCGAACGGACGAUCGGGGCUUGCUCUGAUCGUUAGUGGCGGACGGCUGAGUAACGCGUAGGUGACCUGCCCCGAAGUGGGGAAUAACUGCCCGAAAGGGUGGCUAAUACCGCAUGUGGUGGUGCCUUCAUCGGCACCAGUAAAGCCGCAAGGCGCUUCGGGAGGGGCCUGCGUCCGAUUAGCUCGUUGGUGGGGAACGGCUCACCAAGGCGACGAUCGGUAGGUGGUCUGAGAGGACGAUCACCCAGACUGGGACUGAGACACGGCCCAGACUCCUACGGGAGGCAGCAGUCGGGAAUUUUGCGCAAUGGACGAAAGUCUGACGCAGCAACGCCGCGUGAGGGAUGACGGCCUGGUGUAAC